rnacentral:tRNA from 1 species
GGCCUCGUCGUUCAGCUGGUACAGUGUACGCUGAACAAGCGUAGGCGGCAUCCAGGUGUGGGUUCGAAUCCCACCGGGGCUA